rnacentral:misc_RNA from 1 species
AACGCACCUUGCGCUCCCUGGUAUUCCGAGGAGCAUGCCCGUUUGAGUGUCAUGAAAACCAUCAACCCACUUGCCGUCUCUGGCGAGUGGAUUGGACUUGGGUGUUGCCGCCGUCCUUACAUGGUGGCUCACCUCAAAUGCAUUAGUCGACUCUGCUGCCUUGCCUUUGACGUGAUACAAUCGUCGUCGGGGUUUGGUUGGCUCACUUGGAGUGGCUCCCAACUGUCUUCGGACGACUUUAUUUUUAACCCUUGACCUCAAAUCGGGUAGGACUACCCGCUGAACUUAA